UUUGUUACAGACUUCCAGCUCAAGCAAACAAACUUCAUGUUCUUCCAUUUUUCAUACGCUAAGAGGUACAGUGAAUACCUGGAAUCGAAAGAGAAACAAGAGGGUGAAAUAUCAACAAAGAGCAGCAGAAAUCAACUUAGAGCCCAACAAUGAAACAGUUCCUCAACAAACAGCUCAAAACAGACUUUCAAAACUCAAGACUCAAACCAUAUUCACCCAAAUACAAGACUAUGAACCUUUAUUCAGAAAUUUUAGCUAACAAGGAAUAUUAGAAAAUCAGAAACCAAUCUAAAUUUUGAGUAGUUUUCGACCAAAAAAUUGUAGGGAUUCUCUGAUUUUUCAGAGUUUUCUCAAGACCUAGUCGUUUCAGUUUUUUCAUGAUUUUUCUCUCUAAAAUCUCUGACUUGCUAAUGAAGAAAAGGUGCCUUUA
rnacentral:lncRNA from 1 species